rnacentral:lncRNA from 1 species
AAAAACUUUGCUAUUGUGAUGCACUGUGUAAUCCAUUUAGUCCAUUUCUAUACAAACCCCAUAUUUCCAAUAAUAACUAUAAAAAAAACCUUAGUUGUUGUGGUUGUCACUCUUCUUCAUAGAAUCAAUAGCUAUUAAGCUCUGCAUCAAGUAUUUGCCUUCCUUCUCCAAUACAUCUGAAACUCAAAAACCACAUUUCCCACCACCCCCUUCAAC